rnacentral:rRNA from 1 species
GUGGGGAAUAUUGGACAAUGGGGGGAACCCUGAUCCAGCCAUGCCGCGUGUGUGAAGAAGGCCUUUUGGUUGUAAAGCACUUUAAGCGAGGAGGAGGCUACCGAGAUUAAUACUCUUGGAUAGUGGACGUUACUCGCAGAAUAAGCACCGGCUAACUCUGUGCCAGCAGCCGCGGUAAUACAGAGGGUGCAAGCGUUAAUCGGAUUUACUGGGCGUAAAGCGCGCGUAGGUGGCCAAUUAAGUCAAAUGUGAAAUCCCCGAGCUUAACUUGGGAAUUGCAUUCGAUACUGGUUGGCUAGAGUAUGGGAGAGGAUGGUAGAAUUCCAGGUGUAGCGGUGAAAUGCGUAGAGAUCUGGAGGAAUACCGAUGGCGAAGGUAGCCAUCUGGCCUAAUACUGACACUGAGGUGCGAAAGCAUGGGGAGCAAACAGGAUUAGAUACCCCAGUAGUCC